GGGAGCCGGCAGAGCAAACACGGCGAGGGGCGGGCAGAUGAGGGCUUUUUUAAUCGCCCUCUUCCCAGGCCUCGCUGCGUGGGGUUGAGUUUUUCGCCACCUGCUUGAAUGCCAGCGGCUGAUUCACGUUUUCAAAGGAAAAAAAAAAAAAAAUUCUUACAGCCUCUGUUGCCCGUCAGCUUCGAAACCAGGCGUGAAUUUGCCGCCCCAGAGUUAAGGCAACGGACACAACUCUACCAAGCACUGGCGUUGCCGCCUGUGCAGGUGCUUUCCGUGGGGUGUUUCUUUGAAGAGCUAUAGCAAGAGGAGCAACCUGGUGACCUGUGCCGCUGCGUUCCCCGCUCCCUGGUCCAACCAUCCAGCGCCUUGAGGAAGUGCUGAGGGACUCAGGAGGGGUCCUGCUCCCUGGCUGCUGGCUGCCUUUCGCCCAAGGCUUCCGAGAACAAGAAACUGCAGCAAGACAUCUCAAAGCUGCUUUACCGCUUGAAGAGUACUCAUAGUUUGGGGGAAUGGAAGCACCGCUUGCUCUAGCCCCGAGCUGUCGCUCUCUCUCUUGAUCACCUCCAUCGCUUAGGACUGAACGGCUACGGCGAGCCCACCGCCGGGAUACGACAUCCUCCAGUUGCCCGACUCAGCUACCGCCUGGAAGCUCCUGGCCGACAUCAACUCUACAAAAGCCACUGCGGGAACUCUCCAGGAGCGGAGCUGCUCCUGGUCCGGUUCUGCAGUACAUUCGUCCCCUUCUGACAGAGCGGUAACCGGGCCCAGAAAUGGGGCUCUCACCCUCGCCCCGAAGGCGAGCGCUUGAAGGGAGCCCCCGCGGCCGAACCCUGAACCUCCUUAAGAGACCAGGAAGGGGAGGAGGAAGCCUUGCCUGGCU